rnacentral:rRNA from 1 species
AUACGGAGGAUCCGAGCGUUAUCCGGAUUUAUUGGGUUUAAAGGGUGCGCAGGCGGCCAUUUAAGUCAGCGGUUAAAUCGUGGGGCUCAACCCCAUUCUGCCGUUGAUACUGGGUGGCUUGAUUGCGGUCGAGGUUGGCGGAAUUCGUUGUGUAGCGGUGAAAUGCAUAGAUAUGACGAAGAACACCGAUUGCGUAGGCAGCUGACCAGACCGCAAAUGACGCUCAUGCACGAAAGUGCGGGGAUCGAACAGGAUUAGAUACCCUGGUAGUCCGCACAGUAAACGAUGAAUACUUGUUUUCGGCGAUAUAAUGUCGGAGGCAAAGCGAAAGCGAUAAGUAUUCCACCUGGGGAGUACGCCGGCCACGGUGAAACUUAAAGGAAUUGACGGGG